rnacentral:rRNA from 1 species
AGCGAACGCUGGCGGCAGGCCUAACACAUGCAAGUCGAACGAACUCUUCGGAGUUAGUGGCGGACGGGUGCGUAACACGUGGGAACGUGCCUUUAGGUUCGGAAUAACUCAGGGAAACUUGUGCUAAUACCGAAUGUGCCCUUCGGGGGAAAGAUUUAUCGCCUUUAGAGCGGCCCGCGUCUGAUUAGCUAGUUGGUGAGGUAAAGGCUCACCAAGGCGACGAUCAGUAGCUGGUCUGAGAGGAUGAUCAGCCACAUUGGGACUGAGACACGGCCCAAACUCCUACGGGAAGCAGCAGUGGGGAAUCUUGCGCAAUGGGCGAAAGCCUGACGCAGCCAUGCCGCGUGAAUGAUGAAGGUCUUAGGAUUGUAAAAUUCUUUCACCGGGGACGACAAUGACGGUACCCGGAGAAGAAGCCCCGGCUAACUUCGUG